UUCGGUGGCGAUAGCGGAGGGGUCACACCUGUUCCCAUUCCGAACACAGAAGUUAAGCCCUCCAGCGCCGAUGGUACUGCAUGGGUAACUGUGUGGGAGAGUAGGACGCCGCCGGAA
rnacentral:rRNA from 1 species